CAGCCACAACAGCCCGCUGGCUCGCACGGGGUGCUCUUCAUCGAGUGUCCCGCGUGGCCGGCAGAGUUUACUUUGAAAAAAUUAGAGUGCUCAAAGCAGGCUACACUGACGGCCUGAAUGCCUAUGCAUGGAAUAAUGGAAUAGGACCUCGGUUCUAUUUUGUCGGUUUUCUGAACCCGAGGUAAUGACUAAUAGGAACAGGCGGGGGCAUUCGUAUUGCGACGCUAGAGGUGAAAUUCUUGGACCGUCGCAAGACGAACUACUGCGAAAGCAUUUGCCAAGGAUGUUUUCAUUAAUCAAGAACGAAAGUUAGAGGUUCGAAGGCGAUCAGAUACCGCCCUAGUUCUAACCAUAAACGAUGCUGACCAGCGAUCCGCCGGCGUUAUUCCCAUGACCCGGCGGGCAGCUUCCGGGAAACCAAAGUCUUUGGGUUCCGGGGGAAGUAUGGUUGCAAAGCUGAAACUUAAAGGAAUUGACGGAAGGGCACCACCAGGAGUGGAGCCUGCGGCUUAAUUUGACUCAACACGGGGAACCUCACCAGGCCCAGACACCGGAAGGAUUGACAGAUUGAGAGCUCUUUCUCGAUUCGGUGGGUGGUGGUGCAUGGCCGUUCUUAGUUGGUGGAGCGAUUUGUCUGGUUAAUUCCG
rnacentral:rRNA from 1 species